ACGCGAAACCGGCCACGGCCGGUCGCCCGAGGGUGGUGCCUCGGGCCUGAUGAGCAGCCAACC
rnacentral:hammerhead_ribozyme from 1 species